ensembl:lncRNA
ACCUAUAAGUUAACUUCGACAAAGUUAUGUAAUUUUUACUAAUACCUCUUUUAAUGGAGAAAGACAUAGUAGUUAUGAUAUUGGCUUGAAACCAGUUAGAGGGGGUUCGAUUCCUUCCUUUCUUAUUUUAGGUUCACAUAGGCAGGUUCUUCAAAUGUAUGAUAUGGUGGAGGGCAUCCGUGUAGUCAUUCGAGAUUGGUUGAAGUUAGUUCUACUGUAGAUACUUCUCGUUUGGAUGCGAAUGCUUCUCAGAUCAUGAAAAUUAUUAGUAUUACUGCUGUAAGUGAGAUGAAAGAUCCUAUGGAUGAGAUGGUAUUUCAUGUUGUAUAUGUGUCUGGGUAAUCGGAAUAGCGUCCUGGCAUUCCUGAGAGGCCAAGAAAAUGUUGUGGGAAGAAGGUUAUGUUGACUCCUACGAAUAUGAUUGUAAAGUGGAUUUUUGCUCAGGUUGACCUAAUUCAGCACGAAUUAAGAGGCUUAGGGCGGUUCCUACUAUUCCAGCUCAAGCGCCGAAUAGGAGAUAUAAAGUGCCGAUGUCUUUGUGGUUGGUUGAGAAUAAGCAGCGAGUAAUGAACAUAGGUAGCUCGUCUGGUUUCGGGGUAUUUAGCUUAAGUUCUCUUUGCUAAAUUUGUUCUAGUUAAAUCAUUAUGCAAAAGGUAAAAGGGGUAAGCUUUGCUGUUUGGUACUUUUAAUGUGUCUUUCAUCGUUCCCUUAUGGUACUCUCUCUAUAGCGCCAAGUUAAAAUUUCUAUCUCCUAUUCUUUAAUGGUUUGGUGAAUGUUUUAGUUGAGUGACUAAAAGUGGUUAAGUUGAAUAUUGUUUGGGCUAGCUUUAGUUCAAAGUGUUCAUUCUGUAUGAAAUCUUCUAGGUGUAAGCUGGAUGCUUUGUUUAAGCUACACUUUGGUUAUCCAAGUACACCUUCCUGUAUACUUACCUUGUUACGACUUGUCUCCUUUCAUAUGUUUGAAUCACGGUUUUAUGUUAUGUUGUGAUUUGUGAUAUUUAAGGAGGGUGACGGGCGGUGUGUGCGUGCUUCAUGGCCUGAUUCAAUUAAGCUCUCUAUUCUUAAUUUACUGCUAAAUCCUCCUUUGGUCUCUAGUUUCAUAGAGACUUUCGUUUGGGUUGAGUUCUUAAGGUAGAAAAUGUAGCCCAUUUCUCUCCAUACCAUGGGCUACACCUUGACCUAACGUUUUUAUGUUGGAUACUUGUGCUUACUUCGGUGCCUUUUUAGGGUUUGCUGAAGAUGGCGGUAUAUAGGCUGUAUUAGCAAGGGUUGGUAGGGGUUAUCAGGGUUUAUCGAUUACGGAACAGGCUCCUCUAGAGGGAUGUAAAGCACCGCCAAGUCCUUUGAGUUUUAGGCUGUUGCUAGUAGUACUCUGGUGAAUAGGUUUGUUGUGAUGGGCUAUUUUGGUUUAGGGCUAAGCAUAGUGGGGUAUCUAAUCCCAGUUUGGGUCUUAGCUAUCGUGUGGUCAGAGGUAGUAAAGUCACUUUCGUAGUCUAUUUUACUUUGGUUGUAGCUUUUUACAGUUUAACUGGGUUUUAACCUUAUUUCUGGUGUUAGUCUUUGACACGCUUUACGUCGGGGCUUUAUUAAUUUGGGUUAAUCGUAUGACCGCGGUGGCUGGCACGAAAUUUACCAACCCUAUUUAAUAUAACUUAGUCAAACUUUCGUUCAUAGCUUAAUUUUUAUCACUGCUGUGUCCCGUGGGGGUGUGGCUGAGCAAGGUGUUAUGAGCUACUUCUUAGUGCGCUUGAUACCUGCUCCUUUUGAUCGUCAGGGCGCGAUUUAGAGGGCAUUCUCACUGGGGUGCGGAUACUUGCAUGUGUAAUUUUAUUAACAACUAAUAAAAAGGCUAGGACCAAACCUAUGUGUUAAUGGAGUAGUAAUACUCAUCUAGGCAUUUUCAGUGCCUUGCUUUG